rnacentral:rRNA from 1 species
UGGGGAAUCUUGCGCAAUGGACGAAAGUCUGACGCAGCGACGCCGCGUGGGUGAAGAAGGCCUUCGGGUUGUAAAGCCCUGUCGAGAGGGAAAAUGGCAAUUGGAAUAAUACGCCAGUUGCGUGAUGGUACCUCUAGAGGAAGCACCGGCUAACUCUGUGCCAGCAGCCGCGGUAAUACAGAGGGUGCAAGCGUUAAUCGGAAUUACUGGGCGUAAAGCGCGCGUAGGUGGUUAGUUAAGUUGGAUGUGAAAUCCCCGGGCUCAACCUGGGAAUGGCAUUUGUGACUGUAGAGCUAGAGUAUGGUAGAGGGUGGUGGAAUUUCCUGUGUAGCGGUGAAAUGCGUAGAUAUAGGAAGGAACACCAGUGGCGAAGGCGACCACCUGGACUGAUACUGACACUGAGGUGCGAAAGCGUGGGGAGCAAACAGGAUUAGAUACCCAAGUAGUCCCUGAGCGGGCUGGCAAGGCGCAU